rnacentral:ncRNA from 2 species
AAAUAAAUAUUUCGAGUAACUCCCCUGUUUUAGGGGUCGGUUAGGGAAACCGGUGACCCGCCUCGCGUCGACAAGCAACGCGAGUCGAGGCGGGAAAUCCGGUGCUGUGCCGCAACUGUGAGUCGCCGCUACUUCAGCGACAAGUCAGAUGACUAACCUAGUUACUCGCAAGGACCAAG